UUUUCUCCUGAGCUUGACAAAUGUGGAAUUGAGACUAAAUUACAAGAGCUGUGCUUGAAGAACCUCAACUCUUUGGCCUCUUUCAACCUGAUUACCAUGGAUGAAGACAUUAACAUCAAGCCCACAGAGACUGGAAAACUCAUGGCCAGGUACUGUGUUGCUUUUGAGACUGUGAAGCAGUUCAGUA